ensembl:lncRNA
GAAAAAUUGGACACUACAGAUGAAACCAGGGCUUCCGGAGUUGGGCCGUGGCUUUGCCCUGGGGGCGUGGCAUUCAUAACAAGUUGGGGUUGGGCGUAACAGUCGAGGGGCGGGGCCAGGCGGGGGCGUGGUCAGCAGUGGAGCUCGGCCUGGGCUCAGAGGCGCCUCGGCCCCGCCGGCGAGAACCGCACAGGCCUGUGGGCCAGAGAGUGACAGAGCUCCGCCCCGCCUGCCCGGCCAUGCGGUGCGCGCUGCUCCUGCUGCUGCUGCUCCUCCCGGCUGCCCCCGGCCCCGCUGCCACUGCCGCUCCCAUCCCGGAAACCAAAACCCAGGAGAGCCUGCAGCAGAGCCUCCUCCAAGGUCCCCAAGCUGGAGAAAACAGAGGCCAGCGGGCAGUCGCAAACCACCUCCCUCACUUUGGCUGUCCUCCUGUGGCAUGAUGUCACUGCCACCGCGGUGCAGCCCUGAAGCCCAGGAGGCAGGACUGGGGCUUAUGGGGGGGACCUGGGGCUUCCCCCACCCCAGUGAACACCCCCCAAGACCCACUUCUGAGGCCCCCUUCCCCAGGCUCAGCAUCAGGGGCUGGGCGUGGGCAUCAGAGCACUGGCAGACAUGUACCCUCUCUUGCUUCUUUUUGGAUUAUUAAAAUUGUUUUGAAGUUAAAGUGAUGUGUU